CGCUGAGUUUGAAGUAUAUGUAAAUAUUAUAACCAAAGUCUAAAUGAACUUACUAUAGGUGCACAUUUGAUUCCGAUCGAUCCAUUAUAAUGCAUAAUGUGAAAUAAUAUUUGACAAAAUAGCAGAAUGUAUGACAAGGUUUACUACUCAAUCUUACUUCACCUGAGAUUACCCCCAGUUUUUGGUGGAGUUCGUGUUGCUAAGUCUUUAGUUUUCUAUGUUGUGUCAUGUGUACUUUUAUUUGUCUGUUUGUCUUUUCAUUUUUAGCCACCUUUGGGAAUUUAGAGUUGUGCCAUUGCACAUCGUAAAUAACUAUUUCUAUUAUGGUAUAUCUUUGUAGUCUUUGCGCCGUGUUUGGAAAUUUUUAAAUUGUACCAGCGUCUGUGAUGUUCGCUUAAAUUGUAUAAAUUUCAAGAUUUUAAUUUGAAUUGACAUGAUUCAUUUGACAUCGUGCUAUUACCCAGGAAGGAUAUCUGUUAUCCGAAAUAUCUAACAUAUUGUUCGUUUUAUUGUGUUCUUUGGUGAUGUCGUACCUUUUUAGACUUGUUAUGGCACCCUCAACGGAGUUGGGGUGACGUAUUGUUAUUCUACGUUUCUUUUUUUUCUUAUUAUUUUUCUUGCACAAAUUUUGUCCGCGCGAGUUCUUGGAAUCCAAUGGACCAAUGUCGAUGGAACUCUUCUAAAAUGAGGACCCCCAUGUGAAGUUGUGAACCUUGAUAUGGAAUGGUAAAAUAUGGCCACCGUUUCCAUGGAAACAGCACAAAUGCGAAAAAAAUCAAAGUGUUCCAAACUGGCAGAAACUCCUCAGGAAUGGUAACUGGCAUGUGCUGAUUUGCAGUUUGAC
rnacentral:lncRNA from 1 species